rnacentral:rRNA from 1 species
AAAGAUUAAGCCAUGCAUGUCUAAGUAUAAACGAUCUAAUCGUGAAACCGCGAAUGGCUCAUUAUAACAGCUAAAAUCUACUUGAUCUUGACACAAUCCUACUUGGAUAACUGUGGUAAUUCUAGAGCUAAUACAUGCAUUAAAGCUCUGACCUCACGGGAAGAGUGCACUUAUUAGAACAAAACCAAGCGGCUUCGGCUGUUUCUGGUUGACUCAUAGUAACUGAGCUGAUCGCACGGUCUUGCACCGGCGACGUGUCUUUCGAGUAUCUGCCGUAUCAACUUUCGAUGGUAGUGUAUCUGACUACCAUGGUGAUCACGCGUAACGGAGAAUAAGGGUUCGGCUCCGGAGAGUUCGCCUGAGAAAUCGCGAACACAUCUAAGGAAGGCAGCAGGCGCGAAAAUUACCCACUCUCAGCACGAGGAGGUAGUGACGAAAAAUAACGAGACCGUUCUCUUAUGAGGCCGGUCAUCGGAAUGGGUACAAUUUAAACCCUUUAACGAGUAUCUAUGAGAGGGCAAGUCUGGUGCCAGCAGCCGCGGUAACUCCAGCUCUCAAAGUGCAUAGAAUUAUUGCUGCGGUUAAAAAGCUCGUAGUUGGAUCUGUGCCAUAGGACGUGGUCCACCUUCUGGGUGCGUACUAUGUUCCUAGGCUUUUUGCUGGUUUUCCCGUCGUAGCCUUAACUGGUUGCGGCGGGUGGCUGGCGAGUUUACUUUGAGAAAAUCAGAGUGCUCAACACAGGCGUAUCGCUUGAAUGAUUGUGCAUGGAAUAAUAGAAAAGGAUUUCGGUCCUCUUUUAUUGGUUUUGUGGACUGAGAUAAUGGUUAACAGGGACCAACGGGGGCAUUCGUAUCGCUGCGUGAGAGGUGAAAUUCUUGGACCGUA